UUUUCCCCACGGAAUUGGAAAUUCUAAUGAACGUGUAUGCCGAGCAGUUACCCAUUUUAACAAAAAAAGCAAUACCGCCGCGGCAGCGAGAGCGAGAGAGAGCUUGGCAGGAAAUAGCUGAACAAGUCAAUGCGUGAGUCAAAUAAAUUAGUAAAAUAAAAUAAAAUAAGAGGAAAGUUGAAUAUCUUCCACUUAUUCAAUAUGUAAAUUGUGUGUGUGUGUGUGUGUGUGUGUGUGUGUGUGUGUGUGUGUGUGUGUGUGUGUGUGUGUGUGUGUGUGUGUGUGUGUGUGUGUGUGUGUGUGUGUGUGUGUGUGUGUGUGUGUGUGUGUGUCAAUUUACGCAACCCCGAGUUGCCCCACGAGGACUUGGCAGCAAAUGAAGUACAAAAAUAUAGUUUAAACAGCAAAUCGAAAAAAUGCAGAGACCCGGCAGACUGGAGGGGGUCCACCACCUGCAGCCCUCACAGAGGCUGAGGAGAUGGCCCUCAGCCAACAGAGUAUGCGUCCUGUGGCUGAGGGCAUCCCUAGGGGGGGCUCCUCUGAUCCCCCACACCCCCCAGGAUAGAAGUGCCUUUACAGUAUAAGGGUUACUAAUGGCGCCCUACUUGAACCAGAUGCCCUCACCAACCUCCAUGCAAUUGUAACAAUUCAAAAGAUGCAAAAGGAUGCUUUGGAGAUCCAAAUUUUGGAACAUAAGUUAUAGAUAAGUGAGGGUGAGCAUCUCCAGUGGAGAGGACUUGUGGCCCAGUGCAUGGUCCAGUACUACUCAGGGGGAAUGUACCAAACAAGAAGCUGGUCUGGAUCAUGUCCAGGCGCAAAGCCCGGAGCCUGCGAGCCAAGCGCUGCCAGGCCUGCCCACCAUCCCCGAGGCCAGCCGGGAUGAGAGCGAGGACUCGUGUGAGGACAUGAGCUGUAAGGAAGACAGCCUCUACGGCUCCCCGGGGAGCAAUGGUGGAGGAGCCUCCACCCUCCGCUGCAGAGAGUAGCCCGCCAACCCGUGACCUGCUGUCCCUGGAGGGGAGCUGUGUGUGUUGUUUGUUUUAGUCCCAACCUGUUUGGUGUCCUAACUAACAUUUAUGCACCAGUGGAACCAAGUGCCAAUGUAUGUCUGGUUUACUGUGGUUAGAUUCUGUAGCUUUUUCUAAUUUCAAUGGACAGAAUGUCUUGGCAGCGUUUUGUCAAUAUUUGUAGCUGUGAUGGUUUUAUUUAAUUUUAGUCUUUCUCUCAUGGCAGGUUGCAUGCUAACAAGACAUAUUCCAAGAGACCAGCUGUUACAGCUGCAAUGUUAAACAUGAGUGAUAUGUAGUAUGGGAUGGUUCUGCCUAUUUAUGUAAGGACAGUACAUGCAUAUUUAAUUGUGAAUGCACACGUUACUGUCUAAAAUAGCCCAUUGUAAAAAAUACAAUACAAGAGAACAAAAACAUGUGAUGAAUACUAUAUUGACUAAUAUUAAAAAAAAUAAUGUGACCCGUCCUAAAAAAAUGAACUGAAAUAAAAA
ensembl:lncRNA